rnacentral:rRNA from 1 species
UCUCUCUGAAUCUGCGAACGGCUCCGCAAACCAGUUGUAAACCAUAGCAAGAAUGCGCUAGCCCUCACGGGCCGCACGUUGCAUAAACUUUUUUAUAUGGAUAACCGUGGUAAUUCUGAGGCUAAUACAUGACAAACGAACCACCUCGCCCUAUGGGUUACCGGGGUGGGAACGUGUGAUAUAAAGGCUGGGGACAAUCAUGAAUGAACGCACGUUCAGACCACCGCUUAAUGGGUCGGCUCUCGGGUCGGUCCUGGUGGCUCUUGCAGCGGGCUUCUGACCUAUCAACUACACAGCAGCGUAACGGACAUGCUAUGGUGACAACGGGUACAGAGGAUUAGGGUUCGAUCCUGGAGAGUGGGCCUGAGAGAUU